CUAAUCAUUCACUCCUUCUCUCCCAUAAAACCCGACGCCACUCGUCGUUUGAUGCUGGACCGUCUUCGAUCCUCCAUGCUGACUUCUGCCUGCUUGUGGUUACCUGAUCCUCCUGGUUCCAUCCUUGGUUGCCUGGUUCUCCGUUCCUCUGCCUGAAGGACUCACCUGUUGUCAGCCCUCCCCUGAAAGAGAAUACUUACCGGGCCACCUGGAAAGCUCCAUGCCAUGUUGGAUGUCAAUCCACGUGCCCUGCCACACCACCGCUGCAGCUACACAUCCGGGACAAAAGACUGAGUCGGUUACGUUCUCUAGCCCUAGCAACAUCACACUUAUCGUAUAAAUGCUGCUGCUGUUGCUGCUGCUGCUGGUUUGAUUCACACCAAAGCAGCAGCAACAGCAGCAGUUGCUGCUGGUGUGAAUCGCUCUGCAUUCACUCGCCCAGAGUGCUUUAAUAAGUCGCUAUCUGGCUUUGCUGUGCCCUCUUUCUGUUCUCCUCCCCACAAUCACCAGCUGGACUUUCCCUCCAAGGAACCCGAGCAGCUCUACUCUGCAGCUCCACAGCCUUCCUCCUAAUUGCUGUGGACUCUCUCCUCGCCAGCCUGCUUCUGUCUUGCAAAAAAAAAAAGAGAGACUAUGUUUGUAGCUGGCUGUUCAGCUUUUAUCUAUAUUUUAAGCCACACACAAGGUGUAGAGUCGGCCUGGAGCUUGUUACAGGGCCCCACGGCUGCAUAAUUCAUGAGGAGGAGGCUAAAUAAAAGAUCUGCUGGCGGUGGACUACCUGCCCUGCCACCUGUGUGUAAAUGCA